GCUGGCGUAGCUCAGUUCGGCCAGAGCAGCCGCCUUGUAAGCGGCAGGUCAUGGGUUCGAGUCCCAUCGCCAGCU
rnacentral:tRNA from 1 species